AAAAGCCUUAAGUAGACUUAUGGGAAAUAAAAUAAAUUUAGAUACAGAGCCAUCACUAGGAAACCGAUUGCUAGGCGUACCCAUUUACUGAUGAAAUUGUACCCACAGAGAAGUUAGAAGAAUGCAAUGGUCAAUGGCAAUGCGUUACCACUGCCAAACUCAUAUCUGCCCACUAAUGGCUUUUUCCCAUUUUAUUUUUUGGAAUCAAUUACGCUAAAAGCUUCCAUGGACUGAGGAACAAGACAAAAUAAUCAGAUUUCCUAUAACUCUAUUCCAGAGAGCACGAGGACAUAAAAAAAAUGCAAAUGGGGAACAAUAACAUAGUACAGAAUGCUUCGACAGUGAGCACAGCUCCAAGCCUUUCGCUAUGUCACAUCUGGAGAUGUUGAUCUUAUUGCCAUGGGAAGGAGGCUGCGAAAUUUUUGGCCCUGCUUCUAUGUUUCUGUACUUUCCUUGUCAACUUCACAACUUCCCUUUAGGGGAGAGAUCAGAUGUAGCAAGCUCUGCGUACAUCUUCGAUAUUUCGUUCUCAAAAUAUGCCUUUGCCUGAGGUCUCUUAAUCUUCAUUGUUGGGGUCAGAAGACUAUUUUCCAUUGAAAAUGGUUCUGACACUAGAGUCACAGCUUUUGCAAAUUCAAAACCU
rnacentral:misc_RNA from 1 species